rnacentral:rRNA from 1 species
CCUACGGGAGGCAGCAGUGAGGAAUAUUGCACAAUGGGGGAAACCCUGAUGCAGCAACGCCGCGUGAGUGAAGACGGUUUUCUGGUUGUAAAGCUCUGUUAGCAGGGGAGAGGAAGGACGGUACCUGCAGAUGAAGCCACGGCUAACUACGUGCCAGCAGCCGCGGUACUACGUAGGUGGCAAGAGUUGUUCGGAAUAACUGAGCGUAAAGGAUGCGUAGGCGGUUAAACAAGUUAUAUGUUAAAUAUAUAGGCUUAACCUGUAGAAAGCAUAGAAAACUGUUUAACUAGAGUGCAGGAGGGGUAAGUGGAAUGCGUAGUGUAGCGGUGAAAUGCGUAGAGAUUAGGAAGAACACCAGUGGCGAAGGCGACUUACUGGACUGUAACUGACGCUGAGGCAUGAGAGCAUGGGGAGCAAACAGGAUUAGAUACCCGUGUAGUC